rnacentral:rRNA from 1 species
UACGUAGGUGGCAAGCGUUGUCCGGAUUUACUGGGCGUAAAGAGCGCGCAGGCGGUCGUGCAAGUCGCGUGUGAAAGCCCCCGGCUCAACUGGGGAGGGUCACGCGAUACUGCUCGACUCGAAGGCAGGAGAGGGAAGUGGAAUUCCCGGUGUAGUGGUGAAAUGCGUAGAUAUCGGGAGGAACACCAGUGGCGAAGGCGAAGCUUCCGUCGG